rnacentral:rRNA from 1 species
AACGAACGCUGGCGGCAGGCUUAACACAUGCAAGUCGAACGCGUGCAGCAAUGCACGAGUGGCGCACGGGUGCGUAACGCGUGGAUAUCUGCCUUUUGGUUCGGAAUAACCCCGGGAAACUGGGGCUAAUACCGGAUGGUUCCUACGGGAUAAAGAUUUAUCGCCAAAAGAUGAGUCCGCGUCCGAUUAGCUAGUUGGUGAGGUAAUGGCUCACCAAGGCGACGAUCGGUAGCUGGUCUGAGAGGACGAUCAGCCACACUGGGACUGAGACACGGCCCAGACUCCUACGGGAAGCAGCAGUGGGGAAUAUUGGACCAUGGGGGGAACCAUGAUACAGCCAUGCCGCGUGAGUGAUGAAGGCCUUCGGGUUGUAAAGCUCUUUUGGCGGGGACAAUGAUGACGGUACCCGAAGAAUAAGCCCCGGCUAACUUCGUG